rnacentral:rRNA from 1 species
UAGGGAAUCUUCCGCAAUGGGCGAAAGCCUGACGGAGCAACGCCGCGUGAGUGAUGAAGGUCUUCGGAUCGUAAAACUCUGUUAUUAGGGAAGAACAAAUGUGUAAGUAACUAUGCACGUCUUGACGGUACCUAAUCAGAAAGCCACGGCUAACUACGUGCCAGCAGCCGCGGUAAUACGUAGGUGGCAAGCGUUAUCCGGAAUUAUUGGGCGUAAAGCGCGCGUAGGCGGUUUUUUAAGUCGGAUGUGAAAGCCCACGGCUCAACCGUGGAGAGUCAUUGAAAACUGGAAAACUUGAGUGCAGAAGAGGAAAGGGGAAUUCCAUGUGUAGCGGUGAAAUGCGCAGGGAUAUGGAGGAAAACCAGUGGCGAGGGGGACUUUCUGGUCUGUAACUGACGCUGAUGAGCGAAAGCGUGGGGAUCAAACAGG